rnacentral:rRNA from 1 species
GACGAACGCUGGCGGCGUGCCUAAUACAUGCAAGUAGAACGCUGAAGAGAGGAGCUUGCUCUUCUUGGAUGAGUUGCGAACGGGUGAGUAACGCGUAGGUAACCUGCCUUGUAGCGGGGGAUAACUAUUGGAAACGAUAGCUAAUACCGCAUAACAAUGGAUGACACAUGUCAUUUAUUUGAAAGGGGCAAUUGCUCCACUACAAGAUGGACCUGCGUUGUAUUAGCUAGUAGGUGAGGUAACGGCUCACCUAGGCGACGAUACAUAGCCGACCUGAGAGGGUGAUCGGCCACACUGGGACUGAGACACGGCCCAGACUCCUACGGGAGGCAGCAGUAGGGAAUCUUCGGCAAUGGGGGCAACCCUGACCGAGCAACGCCGCGUGAGUGAAGAAGGUUUUCGGAUCGUAAAGCUCUGUUGUAAGUCAAGAACGAGUGUGAGAGUGGAAAGUUCACACUGUGACGGUAGCUUACCAGAAAGGGACGGCUAACUACGUGCCAGCAGCCGCGGUAAUACGUAGGUCCCGAGCGUUGUCCGGAUUUAUUGGGCGUAAAGCGAGCGCAGGCGGUUUGAUAAGUCUGAAGUUAAAGGCUGUGGCUCAACCAUAGUUCGCUUUGGAAACUGUCAAACUUGAGUGCAGAAGGGGAGAGUGGAAUUCCAUGUGUAGCGGUGAAAUGCGUAGAUAUAUGGAGGAACACCGGUGGCGAAAGCGGCUCUCUGGUCUGUAACUGACGCUGAGGCUCGAAAGCGUGGGGAGCGAACAGGAUUAGAUACCCUGGUAGUCCACGCCGUAAACGAUGAGUGCUAGGUGUUGGAUCCUUUCCGGGAUUCAGUGCCGCAGCUAACGCAUUAAGCACUCCGCCUGGGGAGUACGACCGCAAGGUUGAAACUCAAAGGAAUUGACGGGGGCCCGCACAAGCGGUGGAGCAUGUGGUUUAAUUCGAAGCAACGCGAUGAACCUUACCAAGUCUUGACAUCCUUUGACCACUCUAGAGAUAGAGCUUUCCCUUCGGGGACAAAGUGACAGGUGGUGCAUGGUUGUCGUCAGCUCGUGUCGUGAGAUGUUGGGUUAAGUCCCGCAACGAGCGCAACCCUUAUUACUAGUUGCCAGCAUUAAGUUGGGCACUCUAGUGAGACUGCCGGUGACAAACCGGAGGAAGGUGGGGAUGACGUCAAAUCAUCAUGCCCCUUAUGACUUGGGCUACACACGUGCUACAAUGGAUGGUACAACGAGCAGCGAACUCGCGAGGGUAAGCGAAUCUCUUAAAGCCAUUCUCAGUUCGGAUUGUAGGCUGCAACUCGCCUACAUGAAGCCGGAAUCGCUAGUAAUCGCGGAUCAGCACGCCGCGGUGAAUACGUUCCCGGGUCU